rnacentral:rRNA from 1 species
AUUGAACGCUGGCGGCAUGCCUUACACAUGCAAGUCGAACGGUAACAGGUUAAGCUGACGAGUGGCGAACGGGUGAGUAAUAUAUCGGAACGUGCCCAGUCGUGGGGGAUAACUGCCCGAAAGAGCAGCUAAUACCGCAUACGACCUGAGGGUGAAAGCGGGGGAUCGCAAGACCUCGCGCGAUUGGAGCGGCCGAUAUCAGAUUAGGUAGUUGGUGGGGUAAAGGCCUACCAAGCCUACGAUCUGUAGCUGGUCUGAGAGGACGACCAGCCAAACUGGGACUGAGAAACGGCCCAGACUCCUACGGGAGGCAGCAGUGGGGAAUUUUGGACAAUGGACGCAAGUCUGAUCCAGCCAUGCCGCGUGCGGGAAGAAGGCCUUCGGGUUGUAAACCGCUUUUGUCAGGGAAGAAAAGGUUCUGGUUAAUACCUGGGACUCAUGACGGUACCUGAAGAAUAAGCACCGGCUAACUACGUGCCAGCCGCCGCAGUAACAC